rnacentral:lncRNA from 1 species
UUAUGCUAGAUUAUUUUAAAUUUUAAUUCUUAAAUAUUGAUGGAAAAAAAAAAAAAAAAAAACUCAAUCUGUAUUUUUCCGAAAAAAUUUUGCUCUUUCUUUUCUUAUUAGCUAUACCCAUUUCUCUUUUUGAUUUUGUGUUUGCAGACAAGAGCAUCACAUUGGUUUAAAAUGGGAUAGAAAUGAAAAUACAAUAUAAGUAUCGAUAGAAAUUAGAAAAAAAAAUCCAGCAAUCUAAUUCUAUUUUAAUUGUACAUUCAAUUUAAAUUGAAUAAUAAAUUGGGUAUCUAUUAUACUCAUUUCUCUUUUCGAUUUUGUGUUUGUAGACAAAAACAUCAAUGAAAAUACAAUACAAGUAUUGAUAGAAAUCAGAGAAAAUCCAGCAAUCUAAUUCUAUUUUAAUUGUACAUUCAAUUUAAAUUGAAUAAUAAAUUGGGUAUC